rnacentral:tRNA from 6 species
GGGCGCUUAGCUCAGUUGGUAGAGCAGCUGACUCUUAAUCAGUAGGUCCACGGUUCGAGCCCGUGAGCGCCCACCA